CACGCCCUAAACGAUGUCAACUGGUUGUUGGGGAUUCAAUUCCUUAGUAACGAAGCUAACGCGUGAAGUUGACCGCCUGGGGAGUACGGUCGCAAGAUUAAAACUCAAAGGAAUUGACGGGGACCCGCACAAGCGGUGGAUGAUGUGGAUUAAUUCGAUGCAACGCGAAAAACCUUACCUACCCUUGACAUGCCACUAACGAACCAGAGAUGGAUUAGGUGCCUUCGGGAAAGUGGACACAGGUGC
rnacentral:rRNA from 1 species